GUUACUUCGGUACAUCGGUGACAGGUGGUGCAUGGUUGUCGGUCAGCUCGUGUCGUGAGAUGUUGGGUUAAGUCCCGCAACGAGCGCAACCCCUAUUGUUAGUUGCCAUCAUUCAGUUGGGCACUCUAGCGAGGCUGCCGGUAAUAAACCGGAGGAAGGUGGGGAUGACGUCAAAUCAUCAUGCCCCUUAUGACCUGGGCUACACACGUGCUACAAUGGUUGGUACAACGAGUUGCGAGUCGGUGACGGCGAGCUAAUCUCUUAAAGCCAAUCUCAGUUCGGAUUGUAGGCUGCAACUCGCCUACAUGAAGUCGGAAUCGCUAGUAAUCGCGGAUCAGCACGCCGCGGUGAAUACGUUCCCGGGCCUU
rnacentral:rRNA from 1 species